UGCCAGCAGCCGCGGUAAUACGGAGGGUGCAAGCGUUAUUCGGAAUUAUUGGGCGUAAAGCGCACGUAGGCGGUUUAGUUAGUCAGAUGUGAAAGCCCGGGGCUCAACCCCGGACGUGCAUUUGAAACAGUAAGACUUGAGUACGGGAGAGGAAAGCGGAAUUCCUGGUGUAGAGGUGAAAUUCGUAGAUAUCAGGAGGAACACCGAUGGCGAAGGCAUCUCUCUGGGCCGAUAUUGACGCUGAGGCGCGAAGGCGUGGGGAGCAAACAGGAUUAGAUA
rnacentral:rRNA from 1 species